UAAUCCCAGGCCGUAGCAUACAGGAGGAAAAAUCCAGUGAAUUUUCAUCGGGCUAUGAGGACAAGACAAAUGUUGGCUCUACGCUGCCCAGUGGGGCUUGAAAUCACAACCCUGAGACCAAGAUCUGAGCUGAAAUCAAGAGUCAGUCUCUUGACUGAUGGAGCCAACCAGAUUUUAUACGGCAGGAACGGAUCUUCUUUGUUUUCCAGGGCUGAGUCUGUCUUUGUUCCAAACAUUCAUUGAGCUUCAACUCUUAGGUAACAAUUCACUCAUAUCAUUAAAAUAGAUGAUUUUUACCUCUUGAGAAAUAACCAGUUCCUUCAGUUUGUGCCCAGAGGAGCAUAUGCUUCUACCACAAGAGGGGGCUGUAGCCCAUGCAUGAAGGGCAGGCUGAAACUGCAGUAGAACUUCAGCUUCACUAAGCAUCAGGGAGCCACAGCUGGAGUUCAGGGUUGUGUACUUUGCUUUCCUUACCCCACGCACCACUGCUGUGUGUGAUACAGCACUAACAUUCCAGGACUUUUUCACUGAAGAAAGGCAAUGCAGCUGCUUUUUGUUGGGAAUAGUUUCGUGAUAUCUUCAUGGAAGAAACAAGUCUUUAUUUUAGCAUCCUGGAAGCUGGGACCAACACAGUAAAAGUGGACUUUUCAAACUCAUGAUCUCAAGGCUGGGAGAUUGAGCCCCCUGUGGGGUUUCACACUCAGGGCAGAGUCUGCUUCUGACUCCUCCCUCUCCUUUUGUCCCCCUCCCACACUCAUGCUCUCAUACUUGCUGUAUAAAAUAAAUUUUUCUAAUUUUUGAAAAGAUUUUAUUUAUGAGAGAGUGAAAGCAUGUGCACACAGUGGAGGAGGCAGAAAGAAUAUCAAGCAGACUCUCUGCACUGAGCAUGGAGACUGACAUGGGGCUCCAUCUCACAACCCUGAGAUCAUGACCUGAGUAGAAACCAAGAGUCAAAUGCUUAAUCCACUGCCCCACGCAGGCCCCCAUAAACAAAUCUUAAAAACAAAACAAAACAAACUAUGAUGUGCAUUUAAAUCCCUGAUUUGUCAGUUUCAGGCAAGGUUCAUCCCUGAGCCUUAAUUUCUUCAGCUGUAAAAAUAGGAUUAUUUUACUGACCUUGAGGACUGUUACCAGGGUUAAAUGAGAAUGAAUGUAAAGCAUACAGCACAAUGCUCGACAGGUUCUAGGUGUAAAAUAAACUACUCUAUAGUUGGAAUCAAAGAGCCUGACUAUGGCUAUUUGGUUCAUUAAGGAACUUUCAAUUCUACCUAAAAUGAAGCAAUGGUAUAGAGUCAAAAGUCUCCUAUACAACCUCGGUCCUGUAAUGAUUUCUUUGCACUGAGCCUCCCAUCCAGAGUCCCUGGAGUUUGCAGAGUUCUGUUCUAACUGAACUACAUAGAUGUUGGUUUGGGUUAUUAACAUUCACUUUUUUUUUUUUUUUUAAGAGUAAAAGUUUCUCUGUGACAAGUCCUAUCUUACACUUCCCCUGGAGAAUAUGUACUACUCUUCAUGCAGUGGGCAAUUCAAGUUAAGUUUUAUAGACCAAAGACCUACAAGUUAUCAAAAGGAAAUGACAUGGUGUAAUCAGGAAUAAUAACCAAGCAGAGGAGGAUUAUUUUAUUGUCUACAGCUUACUUGGUGAAAAAGGCACUUACAGCUGGAAAUGCAUGGAUAAUCACAGGAAUGGGUACUCAGCAGCGCUCACGUACAAUCUGCAUGCAUUCCUGCAUUGUCUAGUUGCAGACUAAUUGAUUUCUAUACUGUUUAUCCCGUGUCUAGAAAAAAUUGUCAGGUAACAUCACUCAUUAGACACAGAUACUAGAUGUGAAAGUUUUUCACGGGAGCUCGAAGGAGAGGGUAUGAAUGUCUGGCAACUCUUCCAUUUCAUCUCACUUGCUGCCACACUGAAGGGCUUAGAAUCACCAUAUGUGAACAGGGCAACACUUCCAGGUUAGGGGGGUAACCAGACCCAACAGGCUUUCUUUGAUAUCACAAAAGCAAAUUUUUAAAAAAAUAUUUUAUUUAUUCAUGAGAGACACAGAGAGAGAGGCAGAGCAUAGGCAGAAGCAUAGGCAGAUGGAGAAGCAGGCUCCCUGUGGGGAGCCCGAUGCAGGACUUGAUC